rnacentral:rRNA from 1 species
CUGGAGGGACGGAGAAGGCUAGGCCAGCUUGGCGUUGGUUGUCCAAGUUUAAGGUGGUAGGCUUAAAUCUUAGGUAAAUCCGGGAUUUUUUAAGGCCGAGAGCUGAUGACGAGUUAUCUUUUAGAUGACGAAGUGGUUGAUGCCAUGCUUCCAGGAAAAGCUUCUAAGCUUCAGGUAACUAGGAACCGUACCCCAAACCGACACAGGUGGUUGGGUAGAGAAUACCAAGGCGCUUGAGAGAACUCGGGUGAAGGAACUAGGCAAAAUGGCACCGUAACUUCGGGAGAAGGUGCGCCGGUGAGGGUGAAGUAUUUACUACGUAAGCCCAUGCCGGUCGAAGAUACCAGGCCGCUGCGACUGUUUAUUAAAAACACAGCACUCUGCAAACACGAAAGUGGACGUAUAGGGUGUGACGCCUGCCCGGUGCCGGAAGGUUAAUUGAUGGGGUUAGCUAACGCGAAGCUCUUGAUCGAAGCCCCGGUAAACGGCGGCCGUAACUAUAACGGUCCUAAGGUAGCGAAAUUCCUUGUCGGGUAAGUUCCGACCUGCACGAAUGGCGUAACGAUGGCGGCGCUGUCUCCACCCGAGACUCAGUGAAAUUGAAACCGCUGUGAAGAUGCAGUGUAUCCGCGGCUAGACGGAAAGACCCCGUGAACCUUUACUAUAGCUUUGCACUGGACUUUGAAUUUGCUUGUGUAGGAUAGGUGGGAGGCUUUGAAGCGUGGACGCUAGUCUGCGUGGAGCCAAUCUUGAAAUACCACCCUGGCAACUUUGAGGUUCUAACUCUGGUCCGUUAUCCGGAUCGAGGACAGUGUAUGGUGGGUAGUUUGACUGGGGCGGUCUCCUCUUAAAGAGUAACGGAGGAGUACGAAGGUGCGCUCAGACCGGUCGGAAAUCGGUCGUAGAGUAUAAAGGCAAAAGCGCGCUUGACUGCGAGACAGACACGUCGAGCAGGUACGAAAGUAGGUCUUAGUGAUCCGGUGGUUCUGUAUGGAAGGGCCAUCGCUCAACGGAUAAAAGGUACUCCGGAUAACAGGCUGAUACCGCCCAAGAGUUCAUAUCGACGGCGGUGUUUGGCACCUGAUGUCGGCUCAUCACAUCCUGGGGCUGAAGCCGGUCCCAAGGGUAUGGCUGUUCGCCAUUUAAAGUGGUACGCGAGCUGGGUUUAGAACGUCGUGAGACAGUUCGGUCCCUAUCUGCCGUGGACGUUUGAGAUUUGAGAGGGGCUGCUCCUAGUACGAGAGGACCGGAGUGGACGAACCUCUGGUGUUCCGGUUGUCACGCCAGUGGCAUUGCCGGGUAGCUAUGUUCGGGAAAGAUAACCGCUGAAAGCAUCUAAGCGGGAAACUUGCCUCGAGAUGAGAUCUCACUGGAACCUUGAGUUCCCUAAAGGGCCGUCGAAGACUACGACGUUGAUAGGCUGGGUGUGUAAGCGCUGUGAGGCGUUGAGCUAACCAAUACUAAUUGCCCGUGAGGCUUGACC